ensembl:lncRNA novel transcript, antisense to PMM2
AGGCGAACGCCUCCAGGAAGCCAGCCAGGGGCAACCAGAAAGUCCUUUUGGUGAAGUCUGACAUCCCGCGUUGGUUUCUCUGGACCUGGUUUCUGGCACUGGAGGUGGAAGUCCAGACUGCACAUGCCUGGCAUAGCAUGCAGAGCCUGCCUAGGCUGCGGGUGGGUGAGCACGUGUGGGAGGACCCUCGGCUCUGGCCACCGAAUGCCCUAUGCUGGCUUGUCAGCCGGGACCCCGCCCCUCCCGCUCCCACGUUAGGAGAACAGCAGUUCACAGAUCCUGCGCGUGUCCUCAGGCGCUGUCACGGAGUAGCCCAUGGUUCUGGGGUCUGUGAAGAUCUCAUGGUCAUUGCCACCCUGGAAAGACACGAAGUACAGAUGAAGGCUCCCCCUCGUCUGUCCCGGGCCAUUGCUGAUGUGACCCUGGAGUC